rnacentral:rRNA from 1 species
CUUAAGCAUAUCAAUAAGCGGAGGAAAAGAAACCAACAGGGAUUGCCUCAGUAACGGCGAGUGAAGCGGCAAGAGCUCAAAUUUGAAAGCUGGCCCCUUCGGGGUCCGCGUUGUAAUUUGCAGAGGAUGCUUCGGGUGCAGCCCCCGUCUAAGUGCCCUGGAACGGGCCGUCAUAGAGGGUGAGAAUCCCGUCUGGGACGGGGUGUCUGCGUCCGUGUGAAGCUCCUUCGACGAGUCGAGUUGUUUGGGAAUGCAGCUCUAAAUGGGUGGUAAAUUUCAUCUAAAGCUAAAUACUGGCCGGAGACCGAUAGCGCACAAGUAGAGUGAUCGAAAGAUGAAAAGCACUUUGAAAAGAGAGUUAAACAGCACGUGAAAUUGUUGAAAGGGAAGCGUUUGCGACCAGACUCGCCCGCGGGGUUCAGCCGGCAUUCGUGCCGGUGUACUUCCCCGUGGGCGGGCCAGCGUCGGUUUGGGCGGCCGGUCAAAGGCCCUCGGAAUGUAUCACCUCUCGGGGUGUCUUAUAGCCGAGGGUGCAAUGCGGCCUGCCUGGACCGAGGAACGCGCUUCGGCUCGGACGCUGGCGUAAUGGUCGUAAAUGACC